UACGGGGGACAAGCUCCGCGGAAGAGACUGGCUGUGCGUGGUGACCAGCACACAGUCAUUUCCUACCAGCUGUGUCAGAGUGAAACCUUGAUGGAAGAGCCGCCGGUCUCCGCUCUCUCCCGAUGGAAACUGACGCCAGAGAUGGCCUGCACAUUCCAUUCCGUGUAUCUGCCACGUGUGUGUUAUUGUGAUCUCGGGUGUCAAAUAGGAAGAAUAUUUAAGAGAUGAUUUUUUUAAAUUACGUGUCUUCUCUCAUAGUUCAGAGCCAGCAGCUUCUUUUAACCUUUUUUCCCCUCACGAUCAUUGAGCAUUUGCUGGAUCUGGUACUCACGUGUGAACUCCUCUAACAGGCCACACAAGACUGCCUGGGUGAGUCUUUAGUUAGGACAGAUGAAUUCCUAAACUUCUGAAAGCAGUUCUAAAAGCAGCCUCCAUCCUUGUCUUACCUUUUCUGACACGCUGGCUUCACUUUAUAGUUCACACACACACACAAAAAAAGCAAUCUCCUUCUUUGAUGACAUGGCUCACUUUAUGGUGUAGCUGCAAGCCUCCAUCACUGGUCCUUUUAUUCAGCAAAUACUUCCUGGUGGCAUGGCAGGAGCCAAGUAUUGUCGCUAGGUACUAGCGACUCGGGGUUGGACCAACGUUCAUGAUCCGCUCGAGAAGAUAAAUCUAUUAACAAGUUGUUACAGUCAACUGUGCUGCUGCUGUAAUAGAAACGGAUAGCCAGUGCCAGGGGAGGCCAGACAGGAGAGCCACGAGAUUUAUAGAUGGCUCUACCGAGACAGUGACAUUUGAAUUAGAUCCUGAGGACUGAUUGAGACUGGCCCAGACGAGAAACAUCCGAGGAUGAGACAGAGAUGAGUUUGCGAAAAAGCAAAAUGCGUAGAGAGGUGAACGAGCUUGGGCGCAGUCAGGGGAAAACAGCCGCUAGUGGUCAACGGACUUCAAAUCUCUGUCCCCAAACUCGUUGUUGAUCUUCAGGGGAAGUCAGUGAACGCAAGUUUCAGUUUGAGGGGGUGGGAAAUGGUUCUUUACCAAUGUGGAGACUAGAAAUAGGCAAGGUUUCAGGGUCCAUGAUUGACAGAUGAUUUGGCCUUGAGUUAGGGUAGAGCUAUGGGGCUCCGGAGGCCUGGCUGCAUCUGAGAGUCAUUAGGAGGUAAAUUUGAUUCACGCAGUGAUUGAUUAGUGUUAGAGGAAGGUCGGGGCCAAAUAUUGAGUUUUCCAGCUUUGGUGGUCAAAUGCAUGUGGUCAGAUGAAGACAAAAGUAGGAAAUUGUUGAGGUUGGGAGUCAAAUCGUGUUCAGUUGGCGAUGCUCAAGAGACGGUUUGGGGGAGGAAGCCAGAGUUUGGGUUUCAGUGGUUAUUAUCUUCUAAGGGAUAGACAGAGAGAAAAACAUUCAGCUGGAGAAUUAGGUUAUCUUUCUCAUUUGAAUAAUUGGUCAGUCUGCAGUUGUGUGGCUAAAAACUCCAUUGUCUUCUGGUAGUACAAGCCAAGAGGCCAUACAUGGAGAGAAUAUGUUAGCUGUCUCCAAAAUGUAGGAAAAAUGUGUAAGGGAGAAUAUGUUUUAUUUUCAAAAUGUAAAAGAUUUGAUGUACCUAGUAGAGUGGCAAUAAAAUAUAUUAUCUAC
ensembl:lincRNA